rnacentral:misc_RNA from 1 species
UCUCCGUAGGUGAACCUGCGGAAGGAUCAUUAUUGUAUAACCGAGGUGCGAGGGCUGUCGCUGACCCGAAAGGUCGUGCACGCCCGAGUGCCCUCACACACAUCCAUCUCACCCCUAUGUGCACCACCGCGUGGGUCCCCCUUUGGCUUGUUCGGAGGGGGGCUUACGUUUUCACACAAACUUUGUAUGCAGUGUAGAAUGUAUUUUUUGUUUUUGCGAUCACGCAAUCAAUACAACUUUCAACAACGGAUCUCUUGGCUCUCGCAUCGAUGAAGAACGCAAC